GCUUUGUUCAGGCUGCAGAAGAUGGGAGCUUUAUGUCAUCUCUGGGUUUGGUGGGAGCUUACUAUCAGCUCUUUUCCUCUGUCCAGCCAAGUCGGAAACCAGCUAAAUAUAACAUGUUCAAGCAAUGGAAAAUCAGGUGUUUACAUGUUGCCAAAUCCAAGCAGGUCUAAGAUCCACGGAUAUAUGAUGAGCUCUGCAGUUGAUCUAUGUUAACAUACAGGAAGGACGGAACUUGGCAUUAGCCAAUUAGAUGUAUAAACCCUUUGUAAUUUCCAUUUCUGUUCUUGUUUUACAUGUUUAGAUCUCAUUCUAAUUUUAUGUAAAUUGAUAUCAUGUUAACAGCAGUUAAUUAGUUGCUUGAUUUUAGAAUCUUGCAUAUAUUUUUCCCCUUCUGAAACUGCAAGUUUGUGUUAAAGAGAGGCUUCACCCUCCACAUUACAAACAGUACAAUGGCUUUGAGUUGCAAUUAGACACAACAAUGGGCGGUGCCGGACCACAUUACAGACAGUAGAAGAACUUUUCCGUAUGAAGCUUGCGAAGGAGGCUUUAGAGAAAGAACUUCAAGAGCUAAUGCAACAGCUAAUGUCUGCUAAGGCAAUGCCUGCACAUGCUAAACCUCUCAAAUCUUCAUGGAUGAUCGAAGACAAAGUCCCGGGACAAAAUUGGGUCUCUUGAAGCUUAUGCCAUUGAUGCAUACAAAGAUGAUGAUUAAAAAAAAACUGCAG